rnacentral:rRNA from 1 species
AACGAACGCUGGCGGCAUGCCUAACACAUGCAAGUCGAACGAGACCUUCGGGUCUAGUGGCGCACGGGUGCGUAACGCGUGGGAACCUGCCCUUAGGUUCGGAAUAACUCCCCGAAAGGGGUGAUAAUACCGGAUAACGUCUUCGGACCAAAGAUUUAUCGCCUUUGGAUGGGCCCGCGUUGUAUUAGCUAGUUGGUAGGGUAAAAGCCUACCAAGGCGACGAUCCAUAGCUGGUCUGAGAGGAUGAUCAGCCACACUGGGACUGAGACACGGCCCAGACUCCUACGGGAGGCAGCAGUGGGGAAUAUUGGACAAUGGGCGAAAGCCUGAUCCAGCAAUGCCGCGUGAGUGAUGAAGGCCUUAGGGUUGUAAAGCUCUUUUACCCGGGAUGAUAAUGACAGUACCGGGAGAAUAAGCUCCGGCUAACUCCGUG